CCUACGGGCGGCAGCAGUGGGGAAUAUUGCACAAUGGGGGAAACCCUGAUGCAGCGACGCCGCGUGAGUGAAGAAGUAAUUCGUUAUGUAAAGCUCUAUCAGCAGGGCAGAAAAUGACGUUACCUGAGUAAGAAGCCCCGGCUAACUACGUGCCAGCAGCCGCGGGAAUACGUAGGGGGCAAGCGUUCUCCGGAUUUACUGGGUGUAAAGGGAGCGUAGACGGCAGUGCAAGUCUGGAGUGAAAGGCGUGGGCGCAACCCCCGGACUGGUCUGGAGACUGUACGGCUAGAGUGCAGUGGAGGUAAGUGGAAUUUCUAGUGUAGCGGUGAAAUGCGUAGAUAUUAGGAGGAACACCAGUGGCGAAGGCGGCUUACUGAACUGCAACUGACGUUGAGGCUCGAAAGCGUGGGGAGCAAACAGGAUUAGAUACCCUGGUAGUC
rnacentral:rRNA from 1 species